AUGAAAGUGAAAUUCCAACAGAUGACAGGAUCUCGUAGCUAUAUUGCACACUACGAGGCUCUUGUAAUUAGCUGUUGUUUCACUCUUUUCGCUGUACCAUAUUAUCAUAUCUAUAUUGACUUGUUCGAAAUGCAGAGGAAAGCCCGCAAGGACCAAAAAAUACCUGAAUCAAAUGCUGUGAAAAUCUUCAAGGACUGUCACACCAGCAAGAAGAAGGGCAUGACUAUACCAGUCAAAGUCGCUGUUCGAGCUAUGGAAAAAAUGGUGAAACCGCCACCUUCUGAAGGUGGCGAGGCAACUAUAACCGCAAUGUCAGCUCUUGUUGCAGUGGGUCAGUACCUGUCCACUAACAGUGCCAAAAGCAUGUUCCUGCGUAAUACUGGGUUGGUUGUUAAGGCAAUAUCGUCCAAACUGCCUCAUGAUCAAGAUAUGCAAGCUCAAAGCAAUGUUGUAUCUGCGCUCCAGACACAAGUCCAUUCCCUAACAGAGCCCUUUGUGAAACAAGGAGAGACAUUGUUCGAUGUCGUCAAGAUCUCUACUCCUAAUGGACGACUUGGUGAAUAG
rnacentral:rRNA from 1 species